AUUGAACGCUGGCGGCAGGCCUAACACAUGCAAGUCGAGCGGAGCGGCGGACGGGUGAGUAAUGCCUAGGAAUCUGACUGGUAGUGGGGGAUAACGUCAGGAAACGGGAGCUAAUACCGCAUACUAUCAGAUGAGCCUAGGUCGGAUUAGCUAGUUGGUGGGGUAAAGGCCUACCAAGGCAACGAUCCGUAACUGGUCUGAGAGGAUGAUCAGUCACACUGGAACUGAGGCACGGGCCGGACGCCUACGGUAGGCAGCGGUGGGGAAUAGUGGACAAUGGGCGAAUGCCUGAUCCAGCCAUGCCGCGUGUGUGAAGAAGGUAUUCGGAUUUUAAAGCACUUUAAGUUGGGAGGCGUUACCAACAGAAUAAGCACCGGCUAACUUCGUGCCAGCCGCCGCGGUAAUUC
rnacentral:rRNA from 1 species